GGAGGUCGGCCCUCGAGGCCUGGAGUUGCCCACCCCUAGGCAAGCUGAACCUCUUCUUCAAGAUUUUACCCGUUACAACUCCUGGUUCCAUCAAUACGUCUCGAUGUUCAUGUCAGGAAAUGACAAAGCAGUUUUGCUUUAUUUUUUUAUUCUGUGUAACAAGAUCUACAUCUUCCCAAAAGUUCUCUUCUGUCGUGUAAGUUGACAGAAUAUUUUUUCCCAAAACUUCGGGAUCAUCACAAUGUCUUUUUGGUAAUGUGAGACAGAUUUUUUUGAUCAUGGCCUUAAAACUUGAUCAUCGAUUCCACUGCUCUCCUAAAGCUUUCCUUUUGUUGAAUCAUGAAUGUCGACCUUAAACGAGAAAAAUGAGACCUGCAGAGUGUUAAUGUUGUUCCAGGGUCUUGUGUGACCUCCUGGAUGAACCGUCGCUCCGCUCUUGGAGACAACUGUGAAGGUGGGUCACCGUUCCACACUUUGUCCAUUUGUGGAGACUUUAUUGAAGUGUAAAAACUACAGAAAUUGCUAACCGAUAACAGAAUAAUAGAUGUCAACAGCAUUUCUAAUCUGUUCUUUAUUUUCUUCUUAGAUUGGUGCAUCUAAGAAGAGAUUUUUAUUUAUUUUUUUUGUGCCUACUUUAUGUUGGCAGGUUUUAUGUAAAAUAUUUCUUGAUUCUACAAAUGUGGCUGGUGAAAUUAAACCCAGCUUUGCAAAAAACAAUAUUGCUUGCAGAUAUUUCUUCAUUUAGUUGAAUGAUGUAAUAACUGAACUGCAAACCAGCAGGUGGAAAUGGCUUUUCCCUCUGGACCCGGUUCGUUUGUGCUGUUUCUUUCUUGUGAACUUAAACUGCUUUUCUAUUUAUCAUAUCACCAUUGUCUCAUCUUAAAAUUUGAUUGAUGACGUGUCAAUAAACCUAAACACAUCUGUAUGAAUAGCUUAUGGUCAUAAUUUAUAUUGCUGUUUAUAUGUUGUACUCAUUCAUACUUUCUUUUAUUGAUUCCUGCAAAAGCAGUCACACGCUGUACUGUUUUUAGUGGAGUCCUGCUCAGAUCAAAGCCCUUCUGUCAUUGGUUGGCACAGAGAUAUAUAUUGAUAUGUCAGGAUGGGUUCUGCUUGUGCUUGUGCAGUUAAGAGGGGGCAUCACGGAGGGAACAUAAGUGUAAACACCCCUGCUCUCAACUCCUCAGCUGCUGCCUCGCUGGAUGAGGAAAUAUUUUAGACCAAUGCAAGGGGUCUCAAAUGUCUGACCAUCAAGAAAAAGAACUGAAGCACAGAAAGGCUAAACAAGUGAUGCAGCAUCGCCACCACCAAGUCCAUCACCACCAUCACUACCAUCACCGGUCCGAUGACAACACCAGUCAAGACACUCCGUCAACAGUGGACAGCAGCGAUCAUCCUCCACACAACCAAAAUCACGGGGAACAUGAGAAGAGUCAUUCUUCACACCCUCACCAUGGUCAUCAUAGGCAAAAGCAUCGUAAUUUUUCUGUUUCAGAAACCUCCUUUGACUCCUCAUCUUCAUCGUCUUCCUCAUCAACAUCCUCUU